rnacentral:rRNA from 1 species
AAAGGCUCAAGUUGAUAAUCUUCGGCGUAAAGCGUGGUUAAAAGACCUAUUUAAACUAAGGCUGAACUCCCCCAAAGCCGUCAUACGCUCCCGGGAGCAUGAAACCCGACCACGAAGGUGGCCUUAAACCCUCUUGACCCCACGAAAGCUGUGAAACAAACUGGGAUUAGAUACCCCACUAUGCACCGCCGUAAACCUUGAUAGAUUAACCACAACCCCUAUCCGCCCGGGAACUACGAGCAUAA